UGAAAAAAAAAAAAAGAGUUAAGUUCUAAACUCCUUGUAAUUUUUUAGAAGGGGAAUAAGCAUCGGCUAACUCUGUGCCAGCAGCCGCGGUAAGACAGAGGAUGC
rnacentral:rRNA from 1 species